rnacentral:rRNA from 1 species
CCUACGGGAGGCAGCAGUGAGGAAUAUUGGUCAAUGGGCGGAAGCCUGAACCAGCCAAGUAGCGUGCGGGAUGAAGGCCCUACGGGUCGUAAACCGCUUUUGCACGGGGAUAACACCCUCCACUUGUGGAGGUCUGCAGGUACCGUGCGAAUAAGGGCCGGCUAAUUCCGUGCCAGCAGCCGCGGUAAUACGGAAGGCCCGAGCGUUAUCCGGAUUCAUUGGGCUUAAAGGGAGCGUAGGCGGGCGUUCAAGUCAGCUGUAAAAUCGCGCGGCUCAACCGCGCCCCGAAGUUGAAACUGGACGCAUUGAGUUCACAACAGGCAGGCGGAAUUCGUGGUGUAGCGGUGAAAUGCAGAGAGAUCACGAGGAACCCCGAUUGCGAAGGCAGCCUGCCGGGGUGCGACUGACGCUGAGGCUCGAAGGUGCGGGUAUCAAACAGGAUUAGAUACCCGUGUAGUC